CCUACGGGAGGCUGCAGUGGGGAAUAUUGGACAAUGGGGGGAACCCUGAUCCAGCGACGCCGCGUGAGUGAAGAAGUAUUUCGGUAUGUAAAGCUCUAUCAGCAGGGAAGAAAGAAAUGACGGUACCUGACUAAGAAGCCCCGGCUAACUACGUGCCAGCAGCCGCGGUAAUACGUAGGGGGCAAGCGUUAUCCGGAUUUACUGGGUGUAAAGGGGGCGUAGACGGCGAUGCAAGUCUGGAGUGAAGGGCGGGGGCCCAACCCCCGGACUGCUUUGGAAACUGUAUGGCUGGAGUGCAGGAGAGGUAAGUGGAAUUCCUAGUGUAGCGGUGAAAUGCGUAGAUAUUAGGAGGAACACCAGUGGCGAAGGCGGCUUACUGGACUGUAACUGACGUUGAGGCUCGAAAGCGUGGGGAGCAAACAGGAUUAGAUACCCCAGUAGUC
rnacentral:rRNA from 1 species